GUCUUCUCUUCUUCAGACAAAAAAGCCCCAGGUCCCUCAGCCUCUCCUCAUAAGGCUGUGUUCCAGUCCCCUAAUCAUCCUCACAGCCCUCUGCUGGACUCUCUCCAGCAGAUCCCUGUUUCUCUUAAACUGGGGAGACUGCAUCUAUUGAAAAGGAAAGCUCCAACAGUACUUCAUAGACUUGACAACUCUCCAUUCAUUCCUUGUCAGCUCACAGAAAUCACAAAGGAUUUUAACAAAUUGUUAAGUAUGAAGAAAUAUGUAUUUGAACAGACAUCUGAAAAGGCCAAAGAUUGCAAAGGAAGAAUGCUGUAGACAAAAUAUCUUUAAACUGUUUACAUCGAAUUUAUCAGUGUAUUGUUGGUGACACUGCUAAUGCCAAUGGUACUCUUCACUCCAUGGAUCAGUCAUCCCUACAGAUGUCAACUGAACCGCUUCCAGCUGCUUUUGGGGACCACUGCUGCUGCAUGACUCCAGCCCACGGCACCAGCCCAGGGAACUGACCAAGGCGCUCCCGGCCAGCCACUGCUCCAGCUGCCGCUCCCAGCUUGACUGUGCCCGUGGAAGCUCCAGACAGCGCGCCCCAAUAACCCCUGAGCUGAACUAUUCAAACCCACGAUAUUUGGGAUCAUCAAAACUGACUCCAGCCAGUGAGUAACUGAGCAAACUCGAUCUAAGCCAGCAUAAACUCUCAAUAACUUACCAGUGGCACUUUCAUGCCACAGACUCUCUUCCUAAAUCCUUUCAAACCUCUGCUAAAUUCCCAACUUUGGUGUAUAUAGACAUUCUGUAAUAUAAUCUCGGAACUGCAUACAAAGAACUUGUGUGGGGUAGCUGUAAAUAAGUUUGGGGAAGGGGGGAU